GGUGUACAUAAUAACAAUAAAUGAUUACAAAUAAAAAGCCAUGUACAGUGCAUGAUCCUGAUCUGUGUGUAUAAACAUGAUGUUAAACUGAAUUCAUAAACAUGAUCCUCAUCUGUAUAAACAUGAUCAUGAUCUGUGUGUAUAAACAUGAUCCUGAUCUUUAUGUAUCAAUAUGAUCAUGAUUCGUAUGUAAAAACAUUAUCCUGACCUGUAUGCACAAAUAUGAUCAUGAUAGGUAAUGUAUAAACAUGAUCAUGAUAUGUAUAUUUAAACAUGAUUCUGAUCUUUAUAGAUAAACAUGGUCCCGAUUUGUAUGAAUAAACAUUAUCCUGAUCUAUAAGUGUAAACAAUUAAUCUGAUUCAUGAUUAGUUUUGCCUUUAUCAUAUUAAUCU
rnacentral:lncRNA from 1 species